GCGUUAUCCGGAUUCACUGGGUUUAAAGGGUGCGUAGGUGGGCCUGUAAGUCAGUGGUGAAAUCUCCAGGCUUAACAUGGAAACUGCCAUUGAUACUAUAUGUCUUGAAUUUUCUGGAGGAUAGCGGAAUAUGUCAUGUAGCGGUGAAAUGCUUAGAUAUGACAUAGAACACCGAUUGCGAAGGCAGCUGUCUACGGAGAUAUUGACACUGAGGCACGAAAGCGUG
rnacentral:rRNA from 1 species